GUAGGCCAAAGCGAAAGCGAAAACCCGUCCAUUUUUAUGGACCGGCGGAGUUCCGGAAGAGGAGGCUCUUGCGCAUCUCGGAGGGUCUUGGAAUUAAGCUGAGGGACAUCAAGAAGGUGUCUUCAAAUUUGA